AUGAAUCUCUUAGCGUGGAACUAUCGAGGAUUGGGGUUGGACUCGACAGUUGGUGAAUUACGGGACCUGAUACGGUCAUACAACCCAGCGGUGGUAUUUCUUAGUGAAACAAAAAAAUCUGCAAAAGCUAUGGAAAGGCUGAAAUGGAGUUUGGGUUUCCGGAGUGGGGUGGCAAUGGAUUGUAAUGGGAGAAGUGGGGGGCUUGCAUUGUGGUGGAGAGAACACAUCCAGGUUACGGUGCGGCCGUGGUGCCAAUACUUUCUUGAUGCAGAGCUUGUGUGUGACGGUAAACACUGUAGAAUCACUGGAUUCUAUGGCGAGCCAUGA
rnacentral:rRNA from 1 species